UACGAAGGGGGCUAGCGUUGCUCGGAAUCACUGGGCGUAAAGCGCACGUAGGCGGAUUGCUAAGUCAGGGGUGAAAUCCUGGAGCUCAACUCCAGAACUGCCCUUGAUACUGGCGGUCUCGAGUCCGGGAGAGGUGAGUGGAAUUCCUGGUGUAGCGGUGAAAUGCGCAGAUAUCAGGAAGAACACCCGUGGCUAAGGCGGCUCUCUAGUACGGUACUGACGCUGAGACGCGAAAGCGUGGGGGAGCGAACAGG
rnacentral:rRNA from 1 species